CGUUGCUCGGAAUUACUGGGCGUAAAGGGCGCGUAGGCGGAUAGUUUAGUCAGAGGUGAAAGCCCAGGGCUCAACCUUGGAAUUGCCUUUGAUACUGGCUAUCUUGAGUUCGGGAGAGGUGAGUGGAAUGCCGAGUGGAGAGGUGAAAUUCGUAGAUAUUCGGCGGAACACCAGUGGCGAAGGCGACUCACUGGCCCGAUACUGACGCUGAGGCGCGAAAGCGUGGGGAGCAAACAGG
rnacentral:rRNA from 1 species